rnacentral:misc_RNA from 1 species
AACGCACAUUGCGCCCGCCAGUAUUCUGGCGGGCAUGCCUGUUCGAGCGUCAUUUCAACCAUCAAGCCCUGCUUGUGUUGGGGUUCUGCGGCUGCCCGCAGGCCCUGAAAACCAGUGGCGGGCUCGCUAGUCACACCGAGCGCAGUAGCACAUCUCGCUUUGGUCGUGCGGCGGGUUCUUGCCGUAAAACACCCCCCUUUUAUCAAGGUUGACCUCGGAUCAGGUAGGAAUACCCGCUGAACUUAA